CUCAGCUGCUUUUCCUUCAGCCUGAGGGCUGGCUCUGGAAGGCAUCAUGAGCCCGAACCCCAUUCAAAAGAGGGGAGUAUUUACAGCAAAUUUUUCCCUGUCCUGUGGCCUAGCCUCUAGGCAGUAGGACUCUGGAGAAGAAAUUUGUUAGGCUCCUUGCUCCUCUUGCCACACUCAGAGUGGCCAGAUUCCAUUAUUUCGCAGCACAGGGGAAAAAACAGAAAUUCCAACUCAAGGUGACUUAAACCAGAAGGAAAUUACUGUCUCAAAUAACAGGUGGUCCAGAAUUCUGGGUGUUCUCUAGGAAGGUCCUGGAGCUCAACUAUGUCAUCAGGGAUGAGAUUCUUUCCCUCUGCUUUGUAUAGCACCAGCCUCAAACCAAAACUGGUUCCCUUCAAAGUUGUAAGGGAGCUGAAAUUGAGUCAUAGUUCAGUGAUCUGCAGCUCAGCCAACAUAUUUCCCCAAAAGUGAGUUUUCUCUAACUAGCUUCAUUCAAAUCAUUCACCCAACAGCUUAAUACCCUCACUGUCCAUCCAUGUUGUCACAAAAGGCCGGAUAUCAUCAUUUCUUAUGGCCUGAAAUUUGCACUCGAUACCUGGAGGCACAGCAGCCAUCUUGUGACUAUGAAGUCCUCAAUUGAAAAAGAAACUAUCAUCAAAGGAUGGUGCCAACCUAGUGGGAGGCCUCUGAGGGUCUGAGUCACAGAAUCCAGUCCUCUCUCCUCAACCUAGCUCUGUGCAAGUUAUCAGUGACUCUGACAGGCAUGAGACAUGACUUCAUGUUUGAAAUAAAGAGAAAUGGAUGAUAGACGUUGAGAUGGAGGAUCUGUGCUGAGGCCUGAGGAUUUCCAGCAUCUGUUUAGCCUGGGUAACGAAAAACACACGACUCAUUGGCCGCAAUGUUCACCUCUGCAAAAGGGCUGGGAUUGGAGAUGGUCAUAAAGAGAACUCUUUGAGGAGUUAAGAGGCCUUGUUUGGGAAGCCCUGUGGCAAGGCACUGUGGGCAGCCUCUAGGAGCUGAUGACAUCCAGGAGCUGAUGACAUCCUUGGUUGACAGCCAGCAAGAAGCCCUCAGUCCCACAAAAGAAAGGACCUGAAUUCUGCCAACAACCUAAGGAGUGCUGAUGAAGCCAUGCCAAGUGAAAAGCACAGGCAGCUGACCCAAGACUUGAUCAACACAGCAGCCAUUCGGUUUGAUUCAGUACUGUAAGUUUGAUGAUCUAAGAUUUAAGUCCACAGCACUUCCAUUACUGAGAAAUAGAAAGAAGGAGACACAGGGAGUGCUUGGAGCAGACGUCUCUCAUAAUUCCAGGACGUGAUAGCCCAGAAGAAGAAAGAGAUGAAAGGUGAAGUAAAAGGGAGGGAGGAAGGCAAGGAGGACAGGGACAAAGACACAAGGAGCUAAAGGGAAGAACAAAUGAGGGCUUUCACUCUUCACUGUCAAUGGCAAAAUACCUCCUCAUCUGAAUGGUUCCUGUGCUUUACCAGUGGAGGCUUUCCCUCCUCUCAUCCUUGAGUCUUCAUUCAGGCUUUUUGCAGGCAUCACUUCUCCCUCUUCCUCCAGCUGCCCCAGGCUGAUCUGAGUUCCCC
ensembl:lncRNA